GUCAGUAACUGCUGGCGACACCUACCAGCCAUACCUUCUUUCUUCUAGGGGGAGCGAACCUUUCGUCUCCCAAGGUACCCCAGGACCUUGUGGGACAUGUGGGGACUUUACUGAAUAGCCGGCACACACACCUUUUCUAUGCUAGGCCCUGUGCUCACUUUGGAGGUACAGAGGUGGGUGCAUCUUUAUUCCUUAGGGGUUCCAGGCUGGUGGGGAGAGAGUCACGUAACCGCUCUCUUGGACUUGCCUCUUCUGUUCCUUUACCAUCUGAGCCUCUACACGGUAGAACGCAGUGAGACCUAUAAACAUGGGUUGACAAGAACUGAAUUGGCUCAGUGGGGAAGCCCGUUGGAUCUCUGUUUUGCCACCUGCAUAAUGGUGUGGAACUGAUUUGAAGAAGGGAAGAUUGGGGGCUUUUCCAGUUCCAGCAAUCUUGAAAGCAAUGACUCUCUAGGUCAGGGAGCAGGAGGUGGGGAGGGAGACAGAGGCACAGCUGUUUAGACAUCUGAUGUGAGCAAAGGAGGUCCUGCUCCUGCUGGCCAGUUCCUUUGGAGCCCCAACCCCCUUGUCCUCACCUGGUCACCCAAGAGGGCGUGGAACCCUUUGUAAAGCCUUGCCUAAAACAGAGAAGCUGUUGUUUAGUCCUUCCCCAAGCCCCACUUGGUUAUCUCUGGCUGGCCCAUGGCCUGACCUGGCUGGUAACUGGCUGCUUCUUUCCAGCUGGCAUGAGGCUGGAGAUCAGGCUGGGAAAGGAGAGCCCUGGAUCUCUGCCCAGAGGCUGCUGUGGCAAUGUGUUCUCGAGUCAGAUAGUCCUGGGAUCGAACCUGAGCCCUACCACUGUUUAGCUGUGAGGAUGUGAUAAUUUUAUGUGCCAAUUUGACUGGAUCACAGGGUGUCCAGAUAGCUCCAGACUUGAACUAGAAUUAAACCAUUAGCUCCCCUGGGCCUCCAGUUUGCUGAUUCACCCUGCAGAUCCUGGGACUUGCUGGCCUUCAUAACCGCACAAGCCAAUUCUUUACAAAAAAAAUCUCCUAUAUAUGCGUGUGUGUGCUAAGUCACUUCAGUAGUGUCUGAUUCUUUGCGACCCCAUGGACUGUAGCCCACCAGGCUCCUCUGUCCAUGAGAUUCUCCAGGCAAGAAUUCUGGAGUGGGUUGCUAUGCCCUCCUCCAGGGGAUCUUCCCGACCCGGGGAUUAAAUUUGUGUCUCUUUAUAUAUCCUGCAUUGGCAGGUGGGUUCUUUACAACUAGUAUCACCUGGAGAGCCCCAUAUAUAUGUGUGUGUGUGUGUGUGUGUAUACACACACUUAUAAUAAAUCUUAUAUAGAUAUAAGUAUAAAUAUUUACAUAUAAAAAUAUAAGUGUGGCAAUAUACAUAUCUCCUAUUAGUUCUGUUUUCCUGACUAAUACUGAGGCUUUGAGCAAUUUGCUUCCUUACUCUAAGUCUCUAUUUUGAAACUUGUGAAGAAUUGAAAUAAGCAUUUCUUGCUUAAGUACCACUUCCCUACUUUAGAAGUUUUGUUAUUUACUGAAAAGAACUCCAAAUCUUCUUAGUAAGCUUUUCAGCACUGUUUGCCCUGCCGUGACUCCCUUGGACUGCAAGGAGAUCCAACCAGUCCAUCCUAAAGGAGAUCAGUCCUGGGUGUUCAUUGGAAGGACUGAUGCUGAAGCUGAAACUCCAAUACUUUGGUACUUUGGCCACCUCAUGCGAAGAGUUGACUCACUGGAAAAGACCCUGACGCUGGGAGGGAUUGGGGGCAGGAGGAGAAGGGGACAACAGAGGAUGAGAUGGCUGGAUGGCAUCACCGAC
ensembl:lncRNA